AAUAAAUGUAGUAAAAUAUGAAUUAUCUUAAAAAUUAAUGCAGGAAUGAUUUAGGAAGAAGAACUAUAUAUUAUACAAUAACCGUUUGCCUUUAUAGCUUUCUAAAUAUUUCUCGGCAAUUAUUUGAGUACAGAGGAUGAAGUGAUCCUCAACAGCUAAGGAUCUAUCGAGGUAUUCAAUAUUUCAUUUCACCCCAUUGUAGCAUAGCUUCACAUGAACGACGUAACGUAUUCGAAUCUGAUCUAUGUUGAAUAUUAUGUACUCAUUCAUACCACAUACGGCCUUGAGCCUUGUUUGCUCUAUGGGCUUUCCUUGUGGAACAAUUAUACCAUCUUCAAAAACCUCAAACUCUGAGGGGUCUGGUUCAGUUCUGCCAAUUGCUUUUGCACUUAGCUUUCCCUUCGGCAACUGGUCAGCAAUGUGUUCAAAAGUUUGAAUCUCGUUUAUGUUCCCCAGUGCAACCUCACAUAAAAUCAGCACAGCAUCAGAAUUUACCCAAUCCGCACCACAAUAAGGCACACUUUUGGCAAACAUAUCAGCAAAAUAUAUCCCCUUGCCAAAACAGUAACCUCUUGAAGGUGCUUCUGGAGGAGCAAUGCGUAAACCUUGUGAUAAAAUUCCAGUCCAGUUUGUCAGCCGAGACCCAUGCCAUAAGAGCAUUCUAUUUUUGGUACGAGAGAACUUCUCGAACCGUUCAUUCUCACCUUCCCUGGAAGCCUUAAAUGUGUUAACAAUAUCAAUUCUAUAAUGAGUUUCAUCCGCAGUAUUAUGUAUAUACUUUUCAAUCAUUGAGAAUUCUGUGGAACCGACUUCCAGUGGUACUAAUUCACAACGAAGGCACUGAUAAUGGGAAUAAAGUGGGUCUUCCUGCGAAUAGAUGUCAUCCUUGAAUAAUGAAGCAGCUAAUUCAAUUUCACCCAAAGCUUCAACCAUCUCCAGCUUGCAUUUCAAUUUGUAAUGGGUGUCAAUAACAAAGUCACGCAUUUUUCUAAAACCAAAGUCAUGGGGUAUUAUUGUAUAAAAUUCCCCACUUAAUUCCUCAAGCUUUUCUCUAUCAGAUUUGGUAAUGGCAUCGGAUAUCCUCCUCAAGACAUCAUAGCCCUUUAAGAUUGUCGAUCUGCUCAGCUUACCAAGUGGCAACCUUUCAGCAUUGUACCCUAGGAGCGAGAAAAUAAACAACAUGACACAAGUACUCACAGGCUAAAACUAAAUUAACAAAGCAUUAUAUUCCCUACAUCAUAAACUUUGUAAUAUACACAUUCACCUUCUUUAGCUACUUCAUCUUCAGCUCAUUGGCUGUCUGAAAUUCCAAUAUCAAUUCACUUAUAGAGAUAAUCAGGAAAAAGGCAGCUUCAUUUCAUGGGGAAGAGAUAAUAAGCCUACACUGAUUAAGCUAUUUAACAACUUCUGGCCCAUAAUUGGAAUAAUCCUGUUCCUGUUUAUUUCUCGUUCUAAUUUUCAAUAGCUCAAUUGAAAUGGACAAGCAACUUCCAUGAGGUUCAAAGAAUUUAAUUGAUGUUUGCUCGUUUGUAGAUCUCCCUUAGAACUUUUAGUGGAAAAGCCACUGACCUAAUUGUUGCAUUCGCUGCUUCAUCAUGUCAGUGUUGCAAAUAAGAGAGAUGAAGUUUGCAAUCUGAGGAUCAAGCUUUGUUGCCUGGAGAUGACUUACAAUAGUAGGCUUUUCCUGAACAUCUGAUUCUUGCUCAGCCUUAUAGUCCAUUUCCAGUAAAACAUAGCACUUCGGAUGGCAAAUGAAUUCUUUCCUGUUGGACCAAUGAUUCUUAGUCUUUGAAAAGAAUUUUGAUUCAAACUCCUGUACUGCACUUUCGCUUGAUGUAUAAGGGCCUUGCAACUUGUCUUGACCUUUUAUUCCCACUCUGCCCCAUCUAGUAUACACCAUGAAUUGACCUCCAUCACUGGAUUCAAGAGCUUGAAUCACGUAGAACUUGUUAUUAUUAUCCCCAACAUUUGUCUGGUUCAACGUGGCAUCGUAAAUAUUAUCCCCUUGUUCCAAAACAUGGUAAUGUGUCUUUAUAUGAUCUGGCAGAUACUGGUCCGGGACUGCACUGCCCUUCUUAUUGGUGGGUUGCUUUUCUUCUUCGCUUGUUUCUUUUCCUUCAUUUUCUUCUUUAACUUCAUGUGAAUCUGCAAGGUCCUUUGACUCCAUUUCUGACUCAGCAGCACAAAGCCUAUCUAUUAUUUCUGGCUUUGACCCGCUUGAUGAAAUGCCCCUAAGGAUUGUUUGUUCACGAAGAUCCUCAAUGGCCUUGACUUUCUUGAUUCCAUCCAAAUCAUCGGCUCUUGAUUUUCUUUGCCGCUUUUUGCCAACUGAAACACCAGAAUGUUUUUCCUUUCCAUGAGCUGAUUCCAGCCUUUCCGGUUUGGGCUUGGUUUCAGUGGCUCUUGGACCACGCCUGGAAAGCUCUGUUCCAAGCUUGUCUGCUUUGAACUUGAUUACCAUUUUCUUGGAUGUGGAACUCAGUACUGGUAGGACUGACUUGGAGGGCAU
rnacentral:misc_RNA from 1 species